GCUUACCAGGAGGAACACUUCUCGGAGCUGGGCAAUUCCGAGCUCGUUUCUUCCUCUCCUGCACAUGCUUGGCUAUUCUGACAGCCACACCGGCCCAGAGAGGGCUUUCUCCAAUCGUAAACUAUGUUCCUGGAACGUGAACUUCAUUUUGUUUGCCUUUCAAGAUACAGAAGUAUUUGGUUCUGUUUAUUUUUGUUCCAGAUGGGCAGGGCCCUCUUGCCUGUUCUGACUAAUCCACUCGUCAGGGCUGGAAUCUCCUAACAGUUCCUUCCUCCAGAUGCUGGGACCAGAGAAGUGGCUCGGCAGUUAAGAGGACCUGGCAGCUCUUCCAGAGGACCUGUGUUUGAUUCCCAGAACUCCUAUGGUAGCUCAAAACCGUGUGUCUCCAAUCAUAGGGAGUCCAGCGUCCUCGUCUGGCCUCCAUGAGCACUGCAUGCAUAAGGUGCACAAACAUAAAUGCCAGCAAAAAUAAAAAUCCGUACACAGAAAAAUAA
rnacentral:lncRNA from 1 species